rnacentral:rRNA from 1 species
UACAGAGGUCUCAAGCGUUGUUCGGAUUCAUUGGGCGUAAAGGGUGCGUAGGCGGCGCGGUAAGUCGGGUGUGAAAUCUCGGAGCUUAACUCCGAAACUGCCUUCGAUACUGGCGAUCUAGAGUCCGGGAGAGGUGAGUGGAACUGCGAGUGUAGAGGUGAAAUUCGUAGAUAUUCGCAAGAACACCAGUGGCGAAGGCGGCUCACUGGCCCGGUACUGACGCUGAGGUGCGAAAGCGUGGGGAGCAAACAGG